rnacentral:rRNA from 1 species
CCCUUAGAUGUUCUGGGCCGCACGCGCGCUACACUGAUGCAUUCAACAAGCCUAGCCUUGACCGAGAGGUCCGGGUAAUCUUUGAAACUGCAUCGUGACGGGGCUAGAUUAUUGCAAUUAUUAAUCUUCAACGAGGAAUGCCUAGUAAGCGUGAUUCAUCAAAUCGCGUUGAUUACGUCCCUGCCCUUUGUGCACACCGCCCGUCGCUCCUACCGAUUGAAUGUGUUGGUGAGGAGCUCGGAUUGGCAGCAGUUGGUGGUUCGCCACCGGCUAUUGCUGAGAAGUCCUCCAAACCGCCCCAUUUAGAGGAAGGAGAAGUCGUAACA